rnacentral:rRNA from 1 species
GAUGUGAAAUCCCGGGGCUCAACCUCGGACCUGCAUUCGAUACUGGCAAGCUAGAGUGUGGUAGAGGAGACUGGAAUUCCUGGUGUAGCGGUGAAAUGCGCAGAUAUCAGGAGGAACACCGAUGGCGAAGGCAGGUCUCUGGGCCAAUACUGACACUGAGGCGCGAAAGCGUGGGGAGCAAACAGGAUUAGAUACCCUGGUAGUCCACGCCGUAAACGA